rnacentral:rRNA from 1 species
CCUACGGGAGGCAGCAGUGGGGAAUAUUGGUCAAUGGGCGCAAGCCUGAACCAGCCAAGUAGCGUGAAGGAUGACUGCCCUACGGGUUGUAAACUUCUUUUAUAAAGGAGUAAAAUGAGGCACGUGUGCCUUUUUGUAUGUACUUUAUUAAGAAGGAUCGGCUAACUCCGUUCCAGCAGCCGCGGUAAUACGGAGGAUCCGAGCGUUAUACGGAUUUAUUGGGUUUAAAGGGAGCGUAGAUGGGUUGGUAAGGGAGUUGUGAAAGUUUGCGGCUCAACCGUAAAAUUGCAAUUGAUACUGGCAGUCUUGAGUACAGUUGAGGUAGGCGGAAUUCGGGGUGUAGCGGUGAAAUGCUUAGAUAUCAGGAAGAACACCGAUUGCGAAGGCAGCUUACUAAACUGCCACUGACAUUGAUGCUCGAAAGUGUGGGUAUCAAACAGGAUUAGAUACCCGAGUAGUC